AGCGAACGCUGGCGGCAGGCCUAACACAUGCAAGUCGAACGAACCCUUCGGGGUUAGUGGCGGACGGGUGAGUAACACGUGGGAACGUGCCUUUAGGUUCGGAAUAACUCAGGGAAACUUGUGCUAAUACCGAAUGUGCCCUUCGGGGGAAAGAUUUAUCGCCUUUAGAGCGGCCCGCGUCUGAUUAGCUAGUUGGUGAGGUAAUGGCUCACCAAGGCUACGAUCAGUAGCUGGUCUGCGAGGAUGACCAGCCACAUUGGGACUGAGACACGGCCCAAGCUCCUACGGGAGGCAGCAGUGGGGAGUCUUGCGCAAUGGGCGAAAGCCUGACGCAGCCAUGCCGCGUGGAUGAUGAAGGUCUUAGGAUUGUAAAAUCCUUUCACCGGUGAAGAUAAUGACAGUAGCCGGAGAAGAAGCCCCGGCUAACUUCGUGCCAGCCGCCGCAGUAACAC
rnacentral:rRNA from 1 species